rnacentral:tRNA from 1 species
CCUUUAAAGGAGACCUACCCACUCGAAUAUUGAAAGCAAUUGAGCAAUUAAAUAUUGAGUUGGUCAUCCUAAAGGUCGGUCGCGUCAAAUUGACUUACUUUCAAACUAUAUUUUGGUUCUAAUGGGCUAUUAGCUCAGGUGGUUAGAGCGCACCCCUGAUAAGGGUGAGGUCCCUGGUUCGAGUCCAGGAUGGCCCACCUGAAAAAAGUAAAAAGUCGAAAGUAAAAAGUAAAAACAAAGAAUUAUUUAUUUUGACUUUUGGCUUCUAAUUUUUUACUUAGAUGUGGGUGAAUGUAAUAGUAGGUUGGUAUGUGAGCAGACCAGCGAAGCUCUAGCCAGCUAGGAAAAUAAAGGAAAAUUCAGCAACUGAGCAUUUGCCAGACUGCUGGAUGUAUUUCCAGCAACAGAACCUUGAAAACUGCAUAGUGAAGCGAAUAAGCAGGCAGACAAACAAUAGAAGACAUUCUUGAGUUAUGUUUGUGCUAGAUACAAUUGUGUAUUGGUCAAGCUAAUAAGGGCUAACGGUGGAU